rnacentral:misc_RNA from 1 species
AAUUUGCUAUUUCGCAUUUCGUUCUUCGUGUUAGUGUUGCACACACUACUAUACCGACGAAUUCAGAACGAUAAGCCAGCGAUAUACGAGCACGUAAGUUGACGUAAACAUAGAAUGUUUGUUUCCCUUUGCUAGAUGGCACUGUACAGAUUAUCGAAUAUUCGAUUGAACAGUGUUCGACUAUCUCGUGAAGGUAGUAGUAUCUUACCUCCUAUAAUUUUCCACAGUAGAUACUUACAAUAUAAAUAUUCAAUAAACACAUCAAAGAACGAAAAAUCAAUUUUUUUAUUUGAACCUGGGCCAUUUUUCGACUAGAGUAAGAGAGUUCAAGACCGUACGACGACAUACGUUUCCAAGAAUCUUCCGUAAACAUUCCCAUAAUAACCGUGACUGUAGUUAAACAUAUCAUCGCUUGGGCCGCAAUGCGCUUAAUCGUUCUAGUGCUCGUUCGAGCAAGAAGAGGAGCGAAGAAAAAAUAAGGUGGGGAAGAAUUAUCUAAGUCAACGCAUCUUUCGCGUUUGCCGUGUGUAAUAUAUAUUUCGUUGACGUCGAUUUGCUGGUUACUUUGCAACUGAAAUCAAUUGUCUCCUGUAAAGAUGCCAGCAUAAACAAGACUCGCGACCAAGCGUCCCUUCUCAUAUUUCUAGAUCAUGACAACAAUCGCUUGCUCCAUCAGAGUUUUUUUAUUUCUCCAUUCAUAUGACAGAGCAAGGGGAGUUUGUUUUACAGAGAACGAAUUGAUUUCUCUGUAACUUUCUCCUCGAAAAAUUUGAAAGGUAGGAAUUUAUAAUAUUAUACAAAUAAAUUGUAAUUACAAAUUAUAUAAAUUAUUGGCCUCUCGCCAUAACUCUAAUGGGAUGCCCUAAAUGUUUAAAGUAGGACAUCAGAAAAAAUCUCUCGUACGUGACAUUCACUUUCAAACCUUGUCAAACUUUCAAGUUAACGACAGUGAUACUAUCAUGUAGUAUGAGAAUGAUCGAUACUUGUAGAACAAGAAUCGAAUGGUACUAAUUGAAAAGCAUGGUGGUAAAGUCCGAUUCGCGCGGGACGAAGAGUGUCGAUCAGACAAUGACCUCGACAACGUGUUUCUAAAGGAGUCAGCCAGCAGGAGACAAUGGAUAUAUAAUAUCGCCUAUAAUUAGCCUCGUUAAAGCUGUCUCUAAUAAUAAGCAAAGCAGCCAGAUGCAAAACCGUGAGCGGCGAUAAUCUGUCGGUGUACUUAAUGGAUAUUAAUAAAAUGCGCGAGUUAUCUUGCAGCCACAAACACGUUUAAUGCUUAUCAACAUGUGCAACUAGGGAA